GACGAACGCUGGCGGCGUGCUUAACACAUGCAAGUCGAACGGAAAGGCCCUGCUUUUGUGGGGUGCUCGAGUGGCGAACGGGUGAGUAACACGUGAGUAACCUGCCCUUGACUUUGGGAUAACUUCAGGAAACUGGGGCUAAUACCGGAUAGGAGCUCCUGCUGCAUGGUGGGGGUUGGAAAGUUUCGGCGGUUGGGGAUGGACUCGCGGCUUAUCAGCUUGUUGGUGGGGUAGUGGCUUACCAAGGCUUUGACGGGUAGCCGGCCUGAGAGGGUGACCGGGCACAUUGGGACUGAGGUACGGCCCAGACGCCAACGGGAGGCAGCAGUGGGGAGUAUUGCACAAUGGGCGGGAGCCUGAUGCAGCAGCGCCGCGUGCGGGAUGACGGCCUUCGGGUUAUAAACCGCUUUCGCCUGUGACGAAGCGUGAGUGACGGUAAUGGGUAAAGAAGCACCGGCUAACUACGUG
rnacentral:rRNA from 1 species